rnacentral:rRNA from 1 species
UCAACCUACGGGGGGCAGCAGUGGGGGAUAUUGCACAAUGGGGGAAACCCUGAUGCAGCGACGCCGCGUGAGUGAAGAAGUAUUUCGGUAUGUAAAGCUCUAUCGGCAGGGAAGAAAAAAAUGACAGUACCUGACUAAGAAGCCCCGGCUAAAUACGUGCCAGCAGCCGCGGGAAUACGUAGGGGGCAAGCGUUAUCCGGAUUUAAUGGGUGUAAAGGGAGCGUAGGCGG